UAAUACAGAGGUGGCAAGCGUUGUUCGGAAUUACUGGGCGUAAAGGGCGCGUAGGCGGCCUUCUAAGUCAGACGUGAAAUCCCCCGGCUUAACCUGGGAACUGCGUCUGAUACUGGGAGGCUUGAGUAUGGGAGAGGGAUGUAGAAUUCCAGGUGUAGCGGUGAAAUGCGUAGAUAUCUGGAGGAAUACCGGUGGCGAAGGCGGCAUCCUGGACCAUAACUGACGCUGAGACGCGAAAGCGUGGGGAGCAAACAG
rnacentral:rRNA from 1 species